AAGAGACAAAAGAGACUUGAAGAAACUACGGGAGUUGAAUUUACAAAAGAUUUCAUUCACUUCAACAACUCUUUAGCAACUGUUUUCUCUUCUUUUUUCUCUUUUUAUUCUUUUUUUUUCUUUUUCAUAAGGAGUAUGUAUUGACAUGUAUACAUCCUUCUAUUUUUUUUUCUUUCAGUUUUUUUUCUUCUCUAUUUUCUUUUUUUCAUUUUUCUUUUCGUUUUCUACCAACUUCUGAAAUAUUAUAAACAUAAUUAUUCAACCCCACACAACUCCAAACAAGACUCUUUCAACCCUUUGAAUAUGGUGAUCACAUUGUUUUUCACUUCUCGGUUUGUAAUGAGUUUCAAACAAAAAAGUGAUAAUAGGCUCAAGGGGGUUUCAAACAAGGGAUGAAAUUAUUUCAGGGUUGGCUUUUUGGAUAACUGGCUAAAAAACCAAAAACAAAAUUUCCUUUACCAUAUCAGUGUGCACAAGUAAA
rnacentral:lncRNA from 1 species